GUUUAAUUCCCAGGCUGUACAAUGCCGUUAUACCCUUGAGCAAGGUACUUAACACCAUGUGUUUGAGCCAUUUAUGUCAUGAGAAAAAACGAACCACGUUAGUGACACCUAUGGCCGUUUAGUCAUACAGCUGGAAAUGGAACCAGGCCCAAGGGCUCAUUAGGAAACACCCGUGUCAAGAACCUGAUGAACCAAGACGCCAAGAAGGAUAUAGUUUUCAAUCUUACCUACUAGAUUCUUAAGUUGUAUCAUUUAAUUAAGAUUUACCUCUUUGAUUUAGUUUGUAAUUCAGAAAACUUCGAAUUUAUUUUCAUCUUUUUAUCUAUGUAAAUUUUAAUUUAUUUUCGAGGGUAUUAUUAUUAUUUAUCUGUGGCAAGCCAUUAACACAAUAUAUAGCCUACAUUCAUUCAAUGAACUGAAUUCCAAGCCUGGAUGAAGAUCUGCACACAUCUAAGAGCUGCGACAAAGUCUUCCAAGCUCCCAGAUCCCCGAUCAGACUGCUGCACUUGACCACAGGCUGAUACAGUGAACCACUGCUGGGAAUCGACUAAGCUGCCCAAUUCCUUGCUGCGAAUGGGGUUUUCCCACCACACAGAGUACUCUUCACAUACUGGAUGAGGCAGCUAUCAUUUCAUGUCGAAAGGAAUCAGCAAACUCUU